CAAGUGUUAUUCGGAUUGAUUGGGCGUAAAGCGUCUGUAGGCGGUUUAGAAAGUCUUUUGUGAAAUACUUCAGCUCAACUGAGGCUCCGCAAAAGAAACUUCUAGACUUGAGGAAAGUAGAGGUACAGGGAAUUUCCGGUGGAGCGGUGAAAUGCGUAGAUAUCGGAAGGAACACCAAUAUGGCGAAGGCACUGUACUGGGCUUUUCCUGACGCUCAGAGACGAAAGCUGAAGGAGUGAUUAGGAUUAGAUACCCUAGUAAUUUCAGCCGUAAACGAUGAAAACUCACUGUCGAGCCAAUAUAUGGAGCGGUGGUCAAGCUAACGCGUGAAGUUUUCCGCCUGGGGAUUACGCAUGCAAAUGUGAAACUCAAAGGAAUUGACGGGGACCCGCACAAGCGGUGGAGUAUGUGGUUUAAUUCGAUGCAACGCGAAAAACCUUACCAAGGUUUGAAAUCAUUUCAAAACUCUUUGAAAGAAGAGCCUCCUUCGGGAUGGAAUGACAGGUGGUGCAUGGCUGUCGUCAGCUCGUGUUGUGAAAUGUCAAGUUAAGUCUUGUAACGAGCGCAACCCAUGUCUUUUGUUGCUGUUUACAGUGCUUAAAAGAGACUGCCGCUCUACAGCGGAGGAAGGUGUGGAUGAUGUCAAGUCAGCAUGCCCCUUAUAUCUUGGGCUACACACGUACUACAAUGGUAGGGACAAUGAGUCGCAAACCUGCGAAGGCUAGCCAAUCUCAAAAACCCUAUCUCAGUUCGGAUUGUACUCUGCAACUCGAGUGCAUGAAGGUGGAAUCGCUAGUAAUCGCUGGUCAGCAUACAGCGGUGAAUACGUUCCCGGGUCUUGUACACACUGCCCGUCACACCAUGGAAGUCGAUCCUUCCCUAAGUCGUUACUCGAACCUUUUAGGACGAGGAUGCCGAAGGCAGGGUUGGUGACUAGGGUGAAGUCGUAACAAGGUAGCCGUACUGGAAGGUGUGGCUG
rnacentral:rRNA from 1 species